GUAGACAGGCCGGUUUUUGGAAUCCGGUGCAAGUGCGUAGGUAUGCUCCGCAGGCAAAUCCGCGGGGAUGAGCCGAGACACGAGUCCGUGGGCGCAAGCCCUGAAGCUGUUGAGCCACGGCUGCCAAGAAAAGCUUCUAAGUUUAGAUCGCGCGAACCGUACCGCAAACCAACUCAGGUGGAUGGGAUGAAUAAUCCAAGGCGCUCGAGAGAACUCUGGCCAAGGAACUCGGCAAAUUGACCCCGUACCUUCGGAAUAAGGGGUGCUCCCCAUGGUGAGGCAGAUUCCUGCUCAGCCUCAGGGAGCCGCAGAGAAAUGGUGGUGGCGACUGUUUACUAAAAACAUAGGUCUGUGCGAAGUCCUACAGACGACGUAUACGGACUGACGCCUGCCCGGUGCCGGAAGGUUAAAAGGAGGAGUCAGCGCAAGCGAAGCUCCGAUUUGAAGCCCCGGUAAACGGCGGCCGUAACAAUAACGGUCCUAAGGUAGCGAAAUUCCUUGUCGGGCAAGUUCCGACCUGCACGAAUGGCGUAACGAUCUCCACGCUGUCUCGGCCAGAGACCCGGUGAAAUUGAAGUCGCGGUGAAAAUGCCGUGUACCCGCAGAAAGACGGAAAGACCCUGUGCACCUUUACUAUAGCUUGACAUUGGGUUUUGAACCUGCAUGUGUAGGAUAGGUGGGAGGCUGUGAAAGCUGUACGCCAGUAUGGCCGGAGCCACCCGUGAAAUACCACCCUUGUUUGUUCAGGACCCUAACUCGCAGCUGUAAUCCAGCGCGAAGACAGUGUCUGGUGGGUAGUUUGACUGGGGCGGUCGCCUCCUAAAGAGUAACGGAGGCAUGCAAAGGUUCCCUCAGGCUGAUUGGAAACCAGCCGUUGAGUGCAAGCGCAUAAGGGAGCUUGACUGCAAGAGAGACAUCUCGAACAGAUACGAAAGUAGGUGCUAGUGAUCCGGUGGUCCCGAAUGGAAGGGCCAUCGCUCAUUGGAUAAAAGGUACGCCGGGGAUAACAGGCUGAUCGCAUCCAAGAGUUCACAUCGACGAUGCGGUUUGGCACCUCGAUGUCGGCUCAUCACAUCCUGGGGCUGAAGCAGGUCCCAAGGGUACGGCUGUUCGCCGUUUAAAGUGGUACGCGAGCUGGGUUUAAAACGUCGUGAGACAGUUUGGUCCCUAUCUUCUGUGGGCGUAGGAGAAUUGAGAGGGUUUGUCCCUAGUACGAGAGGACCGGGAUGAACGCACCACUGGUGGAUCAGUUGUCGCGCCAGCGGCAUAGCUGAGUAGCUAUGUGCGGAAUGGAUAACCGCUGAAAGCAUCUAAGCGGGAAGCCAGCCUCGAGAUAAGUUCUCCCUGUCGCAAGACACUAAAGGGCCGAUGAAGACUACAUCGUUGAUAGGCCGGAGGUGGAAGCGCUGCGAAGCGUGGAGCUGACCGGUACUAAUAGCCCGUGCGCCG
rnacentral:rRNA from 1 species